rnacentral:lncRNA from 1 species
CAUCAACUGUGAAGCACUUAUCGUCUCCUCAAGCUGAAUACUUGGUCCUUCGGAUGUCCCAAUCUCCGGAGCUCCCAUCUCUGGAGUACUGUCAGUAGGGUCAAUAGUGUGCUCCUGCUGUGGCACACCCCGAGUCGGCGUGGAUGAGGUACCUUCCUGCUGUCCAGAGGGUGCCCAAGCCGUGGAGCCAUCUGCAAAUCGGGUCGGCCUUCUGGCACGCCCCCGACCACGCCCUCGCGCCAUAUCAACCUACACCAAUUUUUCCAGCAUCAAGAUUAUCAGAUUGAGAAAAUUUUGCAUCCUUCAUAUGCUAAUCACACCAUUUUAAUAUCUUACG